rnacentral:lncRNA from 1 species
AAACAAUAGGCACUGCCAAAGUUCGGAUCUCAUGUGAACAUGGACCAGGACAAACAAUUCGCUCUCAAAAUGCAGUUUCAACACGGGCUACGAACGGGCUACGAAGGGAUCCAAGUUAAACCCUCCGAAAAAAAUCAAAACUUUAGGAGAUACAAGAAUUCAAACACGAAUCCAAGAGAAACCCAACAACGAACAGCACGAAUUGGAGCAGCAAACCUUGGUGGGUCAUGUGGGAACGCGUCAAAGUUCGCCGCUUUGACCCUUGUUUCGCCCUAUUCUACGUUCGUUCGCGUUCCUGCCGUCGAGAUCGAGAGGGAGAGGGAGGAAGGGAGGGAUGGAGAGGAGGGAGGCGAUUAAAGAAGCUGCAAUAGAAUCUCCUUUUCAACUAUCGAGGGAGGGAGAAGGGAGAGAGGCACAGGAGGAGUGGCAUAUUAUUAGAAAAUUAAAAAGAAAAAAAUUCGAUUUCAUUAAGGUUUUCCCUAAAUAGAUUGCUCUUAAUCGCAUCUAAUGCUUUCUUUGGACUCUG